rnacentral:tRNA from 1 species
GGGCGAAUAGCUCAGUGGGAGAGCGCCUGCUUUACACGCAGGAGGUCGCAGGUUCAAGCCCUGUUUCGCCCA